UUGUAACUAAGCCCUGAUUGACACUUAUGGCGUAUGGGGCCCUCUGAGCUUUGGUCUGUUUAGUUUCAUCUUCUACCAACCCCCGUCUGCCUCUUCAGUGUUUAAGUUCCUGCGAUACUGAGUUAUUUUCUAUUUUCCUGCAUUCAUUGUGCCAUUUCUUGUCUUUCGCCAUUGAUAUUAUUGCUUCCUCUUCUUAGAAUGUCCUCGCCUAUGUUACUUGUCUCUCAAAUUCUUAUAAACAAAGAAUCAAUUCAGAUAGCACCUCUCCUGGAAAUGAUUUCUUGAAUCUGAGUUGAUUGUCCUUUAUACUUCCUUAGCACACCAUGCCAUCAUUUUUAUUGCAGUUAAUGUUGCAGUACCUUUAUUGAAACCAUCUGAUCGCAGGGGUAUUUUUGCCACUACCUGUCGAAUUCUUGAAGGUAGAUACUGUAUCUUGGGCAUUUUUACAUUCACAGAGAUUCUAACAGUGAGCUUCAUGGAGUACGUGAGCAAUGAAUUUCAAGCAAAUGGAGGUGAUCGGAAAAUAUACAAAUACAUAAUACAAUUAUUGGUAGAGGACAUAAGUGCACAAUACAUAAAUAGGAAAAUAUACCUAUUUAAGAUACAGAAAAAUUAAAUAUAUCUAGCAGUUUGUAUUGUCAUUUGGAAUAAUAGUGACAUACCAUUUUAAGCUCUUUGGAUUAGAAAAAAUCUAAACUGUUGACAAAAUCCAGUUAUGUUAAGAGCUAGAGAAAAAUCAGCAACACCAUAACACUGGUGGGAGCAUGAAGUACUAUUAUCCUUUGAAUUCAUGCAAAUCUUCAUUUAUUUUGAUCCAUUGAUUUCACUACUAGAUUUCUAUUCUAACAAAAUAAUUUGAACUUACUUUGUUAAAAGUUAAUUUAAAAAAUAAAGAUAAGAAAUAAAUGAUAAAAAAGAGAGAAGAAAAAAAGCAGUCAAUGAGUCCAGGCUUAAGGUAAUUCAGUGGAUGCUCAGAAGAAAGGAGGAAAUGAGUUUAGCCUGUUAUUAUAUUUUUUAUAAUGAAGAUUAAGUUGCUUUUAGAACUAUGAAUAUGACCAAGUUUAUAAUUUAUUUUCAGCUUUGUUCUUUACACCUCUAUGUAUCGUCUGAGGAUGUCUUGCCUUGCCUUACCUUCUUUACCCUCCUAUUUCCUUCCUUCAUGAAAUUUUUCUUUUUCUUUUACAGUGUUUAUAGCUGAAUGUUUACAAUAUGAAUAUGUUUAUUCAAAAGUCAACAUUUACUAUAACAGAAAAAUUGCGCAGUAAAUAAUCAUUUAUACUUCAAAUGGCGUGUGUGUGUCUAAGUGUGUGUGUGUAAGAGAUAGACAGGUGUGUGGGGGAGAGAAAGAUUGAGAGAGCUUGUGAGAGAAUUCAGCUGGGGAAACUGAUGACAUACACAAGCCCCCUCCUGAUUUUGUGUGUGAAGUGGAGUCAUAGGCUUCCUGUAAUUAGGUCUUUCGGGCUUUAUUUCUGAAGUCUCAUAAGUUUUAUACAUAUUUCGUCUCUGAAGCAAUUUAAAGUUGUACAUAUUGCUUUAGAGAAGUCCUUGAGAACAUUUAAAUUGUGUCCAAAGCCUGAAGCAGGUUCUUUAGGUGUUUGUGGGUCUCCACAAUGGGACAGUGUUUCAACAUAAGCUCCAGGAGAAAAUUGCCCUAUUCCUAAAAUUUAUUGCUAAAUGUUAAUUUCCCUGCUAUUUUGAAGUAGAAAUCUAAUGGUGCUUUAUUUGUAGUAGAGGAAUUUAUCCUAGUUAUCAUACCUGCAGCAACCAUGUUUCUAUAAAUGUCGACAAAUCAACGAAUUUCUGUAGCAUAAUGAUUACAAGCCAGUAGCUGCCUCUUUAGAGGUUCAGCUGCUAGUAAGGAGUCAUGAAGAUUGGCUGCAGGUAGAAAAGCAAGAUAGAAAUGUCUGUUGUUGCUGCAGUGAGAAAAGAGAGGCCAUCUCUGGUUUGGGGGUAAGUUAUUGCAAAGACAAGAAACAAAAUUCACCAAUUGUAAGCAAGUGUUGGACUGAUGCGUUAAAGGUGUCAAGUUUGCAACUGAGGUGUUUUCCUCACUAAAGAGAGACUGAGUAUUGGAAAUGGAAUUUAAGGGUCUAUUCACUAAGAUGUAGUAGGAACAAAAGAGCUCUGAGACUCGUAGAGCAGUACUGCAUAAAAAGGCAUCUGAGCAACAAACUGAAGGGAAUUUUCCCAGCAGGUACGAUUAUGUUUUGCCAAAGGGUAGCUUUUUAGCACAUCACAAAGUAUUUGGAAGUCUCUUAUCACUUUUAGCUAAUUAAGACUCACUACACAGUAGACAGUAGACUCCGUAUCCUAGGGUAUAAAAUUGAUAACCUAACAAAUAUGUCUUUCCUGGUCCCUUAGCGACAGCUGAGAACAAGGUGAACUAUGCGACAGGUACUGUGCUAGGAACUCUUUAUACAAAAGUAACAUGUGAGGAAGAAACUAUGACCAAUUUGGAUUAAAAAAAAAAAGAACGUGGGAGUUCCUGUUGUGGCUCAGCAGAAAAGAAACCAACUAGUAUCCAUGAGGCUGUGGGUUCAAUCCCUGGCCCCACUCAGUGGGUUAAGGAUCUGGCAUUGCUGUGAGCUGUGGUGUAGGUUGCAGAUAUGGCUCAGAUCCCACGUUGCAGGGGCUGUGGCGUACGUCGGCAGCUGCAGAUCUGAUUUGACCCCUAACCUGAGAAUCUUCAUAUGCUAAACCUGUGGCCCUAAAAAAAAAAGAUAAUAAAACAAAAAACCCAAAUCCUGAACAUAAUCCUAUCCUGAGAUCUGAAAAAAGAUAAUUUAUCAAAGCAGAGGAUAGCCAGAAAGAGAAUUUCUUGAACAUUAUUAUACAAAAUUGAUGACUAUUUGAAUAUUUACUUUUCUAUUAUAGGUUAUAAUUAUAAAAGUGAUAUUUCCUUUCAAUUUUUAUGGUAUAGGUAUGCUUAAAAUGUUAAAAUUGUCUGUCAAAAAAGCCAUAUUUUUAAGACAAGGAACAUCCUGAUGCCUUCCUAAAACCCUAUUUUUUUUUAAAUAGAGUGAAUUAAAUCUUUUGAGUGAUUUUUCCUUUUUAGCACUUAAUUUGCUGGCAUCCAAAGCAUCCAAAAGUGUGAUAAAGGAUUACAGUCUUAUACACUGUGAUAGAAUAUAUUAGGAUUUGAUUGUAAGCUAGAGAUAAUACCAUUUAUCAGAAUACUGUGUGUGAUCUGAUUAAGCUUGUAAGCUACAUAUACCUGGCUUUGUGGAAAGACAAUGAUGACUAGUUCAGAAAUGUAAAAAGACUCUAAAGAAGGAAGAAUCAUGAAAGAGAGGUGUAAAGCAAACCGCUAAUGGUAGAAACCAUUACUGUGGUAAUUGUCUAAUACAGACUGUCUCAUUUAGUCUUAUCAACGAAUAUGUGGUACAGGUGCUAUCUUUAUCUUCCUGCUAUAGCCGGGUAAGGUGAUGAUCAGAAACAUGUUCAGGCCACUCUGGUUAGUAAGGGGCAUAGGUGUCAUUUAAAGCCUGCCUCCAAGGCCUGUGCUCUGGGUAGUACGUAGUGCAGCAUGUGUUUGAAAGAAUAUUGAGUAGCAUGGAGGUAGCUUGCUGCCUCCAGCGCUGCAGGGCAACUGGAGAUCCUGGAAGAGGGAUGGCACAGCAUAACAAAGCACAGAAGACUCUUACAUUUAGAAAAGUGGGGGACCAGGAGGCACUCUAUUCCGCAGAACAAAGGUGCCUAGGUUUUAGCCCACAUGCCUUUUAUUAGGAAAGGUGACGUAGGUUAAUGAGCAAAAUCAGGUAUGGUUAAUGACAAAGCUAUCUCUUAGUGGUUGUGCUUUUGCAGGUGUGCCGAAUUUGUUUACUGCUUUGUUCAGAGUUUCAAUGGUUUCCAACAGUAGCUCAUGGAAAAGGGUUUUUACAAAGAUGAUUUUUAGGCAUGUGAACAUAAUGUUCAUUAUUCAGUGAACUUCUCAAGUACCUAAUGUCCUUUGGGGUCUCAAGUGGUUUAUACCCUAGCCAUGAAAUUCUGAAAAAUCCUAAUAAAGUGCAAAGUUUAUACAAAGCAUCACAAUGUUGAGAGCUGGGCAUAGAGAUGAGGUUAGGAAGUUCCUGUUGUGGCUCAGUGGUAAGGAGCCAGACUAGUAUCUAGGAGGAUGUGGAUUCAAUCCCUGGCCUCGCUCAGCGGUUUAGGGGAUCUGGCAUUGCUGUGAGCUGUAGUGUAGGUCUCAAAUGCAGCUGGCUCAGAUCUGGUGUUGCUACAUGGCUUUGGCUGUGGCUGGCAACUUUAGCUCUGAUUUGACCCUUAGACUGAGAACUUCCAUAUGUUCUAAAAGGGGAAAAAAAUAUGAGAGAGAGAGAGAUGAGGUUAGAAUAGGGAAAUCAAGUUGUGUUUGAGGUGAUUCUGAGGUUACUGAUUAUGUCCUGAAAUUGAAGACAGGCCUGAGAUUCAGAGCAAAGUACCUGACAAAGAUAGGAGGACAAAGGAUUCUGAAGAAGGAAGGCUCUUUGGACUUGAGAAUGGAGCAAGAAUAUUAGCUAACAUUUAUUGAGCUGUAAUUUUGUUCCAGGAAUUUUACUAGCUCCUAAAAGUAGGAACACACUUAAUAGAAAGGAAAUGACAUGGGGUAGAAGUAUAGACCCUAAAACAGGUCACAGGAUAGUUUGCAGCUUGAUGGUGGUACAAGAGAUUCAUAUAGGCCUAGAAAUCCUGAUGAUACUACUUAAAGUAUCUUGAGUAUUAAGAAUGUGAAUAGAUUUAAAGGACCUCUUAGUCUUCAGCAGUUCCCUUUUAGAGUGUGAUACUGAGCAAUUUAGAUCAAUUUUUAAGCACAUAUAUUUGUGUCUCAUGGCAGUGUGUAUGGUUUGAUGUAUUACAUCCUUGGAAAGUGAAAGGAGAAAGAUUAUGCAUCUCAAAAGUAAGAGCUCUUAAUUCUUAUUUAUGUUAUUGAAAGGUAUUAUAGACAGAACAUCGAAAAUUUUAAAAAGGUACUAUAAAUAAACAGUAAACAGCUGUUUACUUUUCUUUCUAUUAAUAAACUAUUCAUAUCCUUUCCUGUAGAUAACAAGCCAUUGUUUUCUUUUUCAAGAGAUAAUCUAUGUGAGAGCGAGUGCACAUGUGUGUGUCUGCAUAUACACAAACAUACAUAACCUUUUUUACACAAAUAUUAGUGUGCCAUAUAUACCAUUCUGAAAUUGCUUUUCCGCUUAAUAGUUCUUGAAGACCUUUCCAUAUUAAUGCACAAAAAGCCCCUUAUUCUUUUUUGCAGAAGAAUAGUAUCCCAUUAUUUAAGUGAUCCCUUUUCAUGGAAAAUUAAAUUGUUUCCACAUCUGCUAUUACAAACAAUACUUUAAUGAAUUAAUUUGUAUAUAAACCAUUUUAAACUUGCACCAGCAUAACGUGUGAUUAUUACCUAGAAGUCAUAUACCGCAUGCCUUUGUGAUUUUGCUAAAUGUUGUGAAGUUGUCCUAUACAGAGGGUGUACCAAUUUUUGUGUCCCCUGAGAACAUAUAGGAGUGUCUCUCUUCUUACCCUGAGGAGGCAAGGUCAUUAGAGAUGAAACUAGGCCUUUUCCAUGAGAGAUAUCAAUGCACAGCUACCUAGAGGAUGGGUCAGAGUGAGAGGUAUUAGCGCAUUUUUCUGUGUGGAAAUUCCCUGGGAUUUUAGUCACUAAGUUCCUUAAACACCCUUUUUCAAAGUACCAAAAUGAAUAACAGGAUUUCAGUCACAAUUCAUAUAUACAAAUGUAUGUAUAUAGCGAAUAUAUACUUUCGAUUCUUCUAUGUUUAUUUAAAUUUGGCUCUUCUAAAUUAUCUCAGUCACAUCUGAGAAUUGUAGAACAGGGAUUAAAAUAGAGGAGUAAAAGUAUUCUAGCACUUUUUUAUUUUUAUUUAUUUUUUGUCUUUUUGACUUUUCCAGGGCCGCUUCCCACGGCAUAUGGAGGUUCCCAGGCUAGGGGUCUAAUCGGAGCUGUAGCCACCAGCCUAUGCCAGAGCCACAGCAACGUGGGAUCCGAGCUGCACCUGUGACCCACACCACAGCUCUCGGCAACGCCGUAUCCUUAACCCACUGAGCAAGGCCAGGGAUCGAACCCUCAACCUCAUGGUUCCUAGCCAGAUUUGUUAACCACUGUGCCACGACGGGAACUCCCAGUAUUCUAGUACUUCUAACUUCAUUUUUUGGGAGCACUCUAGUUGAAAAUAAUUUUUAUGAUCAAAUGUUUGGGUCUGUAAUUCAAAUCAUAAGAGUAGAGAAAGAAGGUAAAAAACCAUUUAUGAAAUGGAAGAAAUGAGUGAAAUGUUCAAGUUAAGGCAAAUAAAUAGUAAAUAACAACUUAAUCAGCCAGCAGAAACAAGGAGGUGGGAAAUAUAAGUCAUGCAAAUUAAGUGAUAAAAAUAAAGUAUAUGGAAGGGAAGAACUGAAGUACAUUGAUAGUUACAUUCUAAAGUAAAUAGACUGAAUAUGCUCAUAAAAGUAGAGAUUGUCAAAAGGGAUUAAUGGCUUAACCCCAGAUGUGUAUUACUCACAACUAGUAUUUCAAAAGUUGAAAAUAAAUGAUGUAAAAAGAGGUAGCAGGCAAAAGCAAACUAAAAAGUAUACACAGGAUAUUACUCAGGAGUGUAAUAUCAGUAUCAUAAAAGUGGAAUUUAAAGUGCAAAAAGUAACCAAAAAUAUGUCAAUUAAUUAUAACAUUCACAAUUUAUGAGGAAGAUUAUCAGCCAUAAGGAGGUAUACACUAAAUAACAUAGAAACUAAGCAUAUAAACAAUAAUCCUAGAUAUAUAAGGAAAAAUUGAUUACAAAUAUUUAUGUAGAAUUGAUUAAAUAAAGAUAAUAGAAAAUAAUCUCAAAGAUUUGAAUGCUAUAUUCAAUAAACAUGGUUAUAUGUGUACAUGUAUUGCAUAUACAUAUAUAAAACCAUAUAUCUCUCCCAGAGAGAAUUUGCAUUUUUGUUAACAAUUGCAAUGUGAUCAAGUAAUUGGCUGCCAAAAAUGCAUAACUAUAGAAUUACAGGUCACAUUCUUUUAUCAUAAUAAAAUAAAUUCAUGUAAUAAAAAUGGAAUAAAAAUAUCUGAUAGCUAGUUAUGCAUAUCUAGAUAACUCUUGGU
rnacentral:lncRNA from 1 species